rnacentral:rRNA from 1 species
GAUCCUGGCUCAGGACGAACGCUGGCGGCGUGCCUAACACAUGCAAGUCGAACGAGAGAGAGGGAGCUUGCUUCCUUGAUCGAGUGGCGAACGGGUGAGUAACGCGUGAGGAACCUGCCUCAAAGAGGGGGACAACAGUUGGAAACGACUGCUAAUACCGCAUAAGCCCACGGCUCGGCAUCGAGCAGAGGGAAAAGGAGCAAUCCGCUUUGAGAUGGCCUCGCGUCCGAUUAGCUAGG